UUGAGGAAUCAACGUUUUAAACUUUAAUUUGAAAUGAAAAAUCGUUUGAAUUUAAAAAUGAUUGAAUGACUGAAAAAUGUUAAAGUAAAUAACAUUAUAAACGAAACAUUUUGUUAAAAAAUUAUUAAAAUGAAGUAAAAGUUAAAAAAAAGUACAAAAAACAUUUUUUUUCGGGACUUGUCGGGUUUUGGCUGUACAAAGUUAGUCAACUUCUAGGUAACUUUGAACAUCACUGUCCUCCAUAUCAGGCACUUAUCUUGUUUUGGCAGAACUAGAAUAUUGUAAAUGAUAAAAUACUAUUUUAUUUAUACAGAGAUGUGCAGACAACUGCACAUAUCUGUUUUUGGCUGAAUAAAAGUGUCAUCGUUGGAAUUAGUUGUUUUGAGACCCUUCUGUUUCCCACAUUUAAAAUCUGGUUUGAAGUGUCUGGUUUCAUCAGUACAUUCUUUGAUAAUUAUUAAGUACAAAGGCGUACUUUCAGAAUCGACAAAAAGUGGAGUUAGUUGGUUUUGGCAGUAAGCCGACGAUAUAAGCACACAAGUGCCACACUAUAUCUUUAUAUUUGAUGGAAUACUAUUGUUUACUUUAUACAAAAUAUUGUGUACAUAUUCUUCAGUAAUAGUAUACCUUUAUAUUGAAUUUAAGAAUGAUGCAGUUUUUGUUAAGUUUUACUAUGUUAAUCCAAUUUUUACCCCUCCAUGGCUAAAAUUAAUAAAAAUGCAGAAUGUCGAAUAUUUUUCAUAACUUAACGUAGGGUUGUAAGUUUUUUAACGUAUAGGGGUAAGAGUUGUUUAUUUAGGUGUCGGCGUGUAGAGAGGCCAAUAAUGUAGAAAACUUUUUUUUCACGAUUAUUGUUAUUUUUCGUAAGUUUAGUCCGCUUAAGAAAAUUUAUAGAAAAUACCUUAAAACUAUUACGGUUUUUUUAGAGUUGUAUAUUGUUACUAUGCCAGAACAAAGUGUCGAUGGAAGUCACAAAACAUUUGUUAUUGCAUAAUUAAUUUUUUUUUAUUUUCAAAUAUGUUACAGUUCUAGUGUACACAGUGGUGGAUCUAGACAUUUGCCUUGGAGGAAGGGGUUUCCAAUGACACACCAACCAAUAGACAUAAAAGAGCUAAGCACAUAAAUAACUUAUAUACAUUAAGAAGCCUUAAUGUUCCUAAUUAGCGGAUUUAUAGGGCUGCAUUUGUUUGUAAGUUUCAUGUCAGCUAUUGUAUUUUUGUUUCAACAAUUUUUUUCUUUAAUUUUGGACAUUGUUGGGGGGUGUAUGAUUUACACCCCCCUUAGAUCCGCCACUGAGUAUACAAUCGUAAAAUAAAUAUUUAUUCCCAUUUUUUACUUUUAUAAACUGAUAUUUAAAUAUUUUUAACAAUCAGAUUACAUUAAAUAUUAUGUUGAUAUGGGUCCUCUUUUGUGAUUAACACGCCCAGAAAAGGAAGUUUCCAUGGUCAUUUCAUUUUCCAUGGUCAAAAGAGGACACAGAAUAGCCAUGCAACCCAAGUUUACAGAAAACAACCCACACAAAUAUUUAAAUGAACACCCAAACCACAACGUAAAUAUCAAAAAAAGGUAUUAUAAAAUCAUUAUACAGGGUGAAAAUAGUGCGUUCCUUUAAGGUAUGGGUAUAAUACACAAUGUAGAACAAAAAAGUCAUAACAUUUUUUUCUAAAGUUAACGGUUUCCAAAAAAAUUACAUUGUUGUCCAUAUAAGCGAACUUUUAUUUUCAUAAAAUUAACUAAUCUGACAUCACUGUACAAGAACUGUUUGUGACUAGGUGAUUGACAUCAACACUGUAGGUCAGACAGUAGACACCUGCAAAAUAGUUAUACCAACCUAUGUGUGAAAAUCAAACAAAACAAGAAUUUGUUUGUUUGUUGAGGAGGAAGACAGGGUUUAAUGUAAAUAGUAAAGGCCCAUGGGCAACUAUUUUUUAAUUGCGACUAUGUCUAUUUGUAAAUUUUGUAUACAUAGUUGUCAGAUUUCAAUUUGCAUACCAAAAUGCAUUUUCGUUUUUUGGCCAAACGGUUGAGUUUAGAAAAAAAUGUUAUAAGACUUUUUUCCUCUACAUGGUGCCUUCUACGUAUACCUUUAAGGAACGCACUAUUUUCGGGGACACCCUGUAUAAUACAACCCGAAACACCUGCUCCAAUGAAAAUGGAAUAUCUAGAAUAACAGAUUAAGGGAAAUCGCAGACAUAUCAUCUACAAUUAGAUAUAAUAUAUAUAACCAAUACAAGAAGAUGUAAUAUACGUAAACACACGCAAACAAAUAUGCAAAAAA
rnacentral:lncRNA from 1 species